rnacentral:tRNA from 1 species
GCCCGUUUGGCGGAAAUGGAAGACGCCCCGGUUUCAGGAACCGGUGUCCGAGAGGGCGUGGGGGUUCGAGUCCCCUGACGGGUACAA